rnacentral:rRNA from 1 species
GAGCAGCCCAGAGCCUGAAUCAGUGUGUGUGUUAGUGGAAGCGUCUGGAAAGGCGCGCGAUACAGGGUGACAGCCCCGUACACAAAAAUGCACAUGCUGUGAGCUCGAUGAGUAGGGCGGGACACGUGGUAUCCUGUCUGAAUAUGGGGGGACCAUCCUCCAAGGCUAAAUACUCCUGACUGACCGAUAGUGAACCAGUACCGUGAGGGAAAGGCGAAAAGAACCCCGGCGAGGGGAGUGAAAAAGAACCUGAAACCGUGUACGUACAAGCAGUGGGAGCACGCUUAGGCGUGUGACUGCGUACCUUUUGUAUAAUGGGUCAGCGACUUAUAUUCUGUAGCAAGGUUAACCGAAUAGGGGAGCCGAAGGGAAACCGAGUCUUAACUGGGCGUUAAGUUGCAGGGUAUAGACCCGAAACCCGGUGAUCUAGCCAUGGGCAGGUUGAAGGUUGGGUAACACUAACUGGAGGACCGAACCGACUAAUGUUGAAAAAUUAGCGGAUGACUUGUGGCUGGGGGUGAAAGGCCAAUCAAACCGGGAGAUAGCUGGUUCUCCCCGAAAGCUAUUUAGGUAGCGCCUCGUGAAUUCAUCUCCGGGGGUAGAGCACUGUUUCGGCAAGGGGGUCAUCCCGACUUACCAACCCGAUGCAAACUGCGAAUACCGGAGAAUGUUAUCACGGGAGACACACGGCGGGUGCUAACGUCCGUCGUGAAGAGGGAAACAACCCAGACCGCCAGCUAAGGUCCCAAAGUCAUGGUUAAGUGGGAAACGAUGUGGGAAGGCCCAGACAGCCAGGAUGUUGGCUUAGAAGCAGCCAUCAUUUAAAGAAAGCGUAAUAGCUCACUGGUCGAGUCGGCCUGCGCGGAAGAUGUAACGGGGCUAAACCAUGCACCGAAGCUGCGGCAGCGACGCUUAUGCGUUGUUGGGUAGGGGAGCGUUCUGUAAGCCUGUGAAGGUGUGCUGUGAGGCAUGCUGGAGGUAUCAGAAGUGCGAAUGCUGACAUAAGUAACGAUAAAGCGGGUGAAAAGCCCGCUCGCCGGAAGACCAAGGGUUCCUGUCCAACGUUAAUCGGGGCAGGGUGAGUCGACCCCUAAGGCGAGGCCGAAAGGCGUAGUCGAUGGGAAACAGGUUAAUAUUCCUGUACUUGGUGUUACUGCGAAGGGGGGACGGAGAAGGCUAUGUUGGCCGGGCGACGGUUGUCCCGGUUUAAGCGUGUAGGCUGGUUUUCCAGGCAAAUCCGGAAAAUCAAGGCUGAGGCGUGAUGACGAGGCACUACGGUGCUGAAGCAACAAAUGCCCUGCUUCCAGGAAAAGCCUCUAAGCAUCAGGUAACAUCAAAUCGUACCCCAAACCGACACAGGUGGUCAGGUAGAGAAUACCAAGGCGCUUGAGAGAACUCGGGUGAAGGAACUAGGCAAAAUGGUGCCGUAACUUCGGGAGAAGGCACGCUGAUAUGUAGGUGAAGUCCCUCGCGGAUGGAGCUGAAAUCAGUCGAAGAUACCAGCUGGCUGCAACUGUUUAUUAAAAACACAGCACUGUGCAAACACGAAAGUGGACGUAUACGGUGUGACGCCUGCCCGGUGCCGGAAGGUUAAUUGAUGGGGUCAGCGCAAGCGAAGCUCUUGAUCGAAGCCCCGGUAAACGGCGGCCGUAACUAUAACGGUCCUAAGGUAGCGAAAUUCCUUGUCGGGUAAGUUCCGACCUGCACGAAUGGCGUAAUGAUGGCCAGGCUGUCUCCACCCGAGACUCAGUGAAAUUGAACUCGCUGUGAAGAUGCAGUGUACCCGCGGCAAGACGGAAAGACCCCGUGAACCUUUACUAUAGCUUGACACUGAACAUUGAGCCUUGAUGUGUAGGAUAGGUGGGAGGCUUAGAAGUGUGGACGCCAGUCUGCAUGGAGCCGACCUUGAAAUACCACCCUUUAAUGUUUGAUGUUCUAACGUUGACCCGUAAUCCGGGUUGCGGACAGUGUCUGGUGGGUAGUUUGACUGGGGCGGUCUCCUCCUAAAGAGUAACGGAGGAGCACGAAGGUUGGCUAAUCCUGGUCGGACAUCAGGAGGUUAGUGCAAUGGCAUAAGCCAGCUUGACUGCGAGCGUGACGGCGCGAGCAGGUGCGAAAGCAGGUCAUAGUGAUCCGGUGGUUCUGAAUGGAAGGGCCAUCGCUCAACGGAUAAAAGGUACUCCGGGGAUAACAGGCUGAUACCGCCCAAGAGUUCAUAUCGACGGCGGUGUUUGGCACCUCGAUGUCGGCUCAUCACAUCCUGGGGCUGAAGUAGGUCCCAAGGGUAUGGCUGUUCGCCAUUUAAAGUGGUACGCGAGCUGGGUUUAGAACGUCGUGAGACAGUUCGGUCCCUAUCUGCCGUGGGCG